CACCGGUUCUGGCAUCACCAUCCCCAUUACCGGCUCCAUCACGGGCUAUGGCAUCAGUUCUGGCAUCACCGGCCCCGUUACCAGCUCCGUCACCGGCACCAACACCAGCACCAGCUCUGGCAUCACCGGCUCCAGCACCAACACCAGUUCUGGCAUCACCGUCCCCGUUACCGGCUCCGGCACCAACACCAGUACCGGUUCUGGCAUCAGUAUCCCCGUUACCGGCUCCAUCACCGGUUCUGGCAUCACCGGCCCCGUUAGUAGCUCCAGCACUGCCCCCAGCUCCGGUGUCACCGCAUCCGGCACCGGCUCCAGGCCCCGCAUCAGUUCUGCCAUCACCGUCCCCGUUAUCAGCUCCGGUGCCAGUUCCGGAUCCACCACCGGCACCGGCAUCACCGGAUCUGCCGUCACCGUCCCCAUCACCGUCCCCGCCACCGGCUCCGGCAUCACCAUCCCCAGCACCGGCACCGAAUCUGGCAUCGACACUGGCAUCCCCAUCACCGGCAUCGGCACCAGCUCUGGCACCACCGUCCCUGGCACCGGCUCCGGCACCAGUUUUGGCAUCACCGGCCCCGUUACCGGCUCCAUCCCCGGCACCGGCUCCGGCAUCACCGUCCCCAUCACCAGCUCCGGCACCAGUUUUGGCACCACCGGCCCCGUUACCGGCUCCAUCCCCGGCACCAGCACCGGCAUCACCGUCCCCAUCACCGGUGCCGGAUCUGGCAUCACCGGCACCAUCCCCAUCCCUGGUACCGGCUCCAUCCCCAGCACCGGCACCACCGUCCCCAUCCCCGGCACCGGUUCUGGCAUCCCUGUCCCCGGCACCGGCUCCAGCACCAGUUUUGGCACCACCGGCCCCGUUACCGGCUCCAUCCCCGGCUCCGGCAUCACCGUCCCCAUCACCGGUGCCGGAUCUGGCAUCACCGGCACCAUCCCCAUCCCCGGUACCGGCUCCAGCAUCGGCACCGGCAGCACCGUCCCCAUCACCGUCCCCAUCCCCGGCACCGGCACCACCGUCCCCAUCACCGGCACCGGUUCUGGCAUCCCUGUCCCCGGCACCGGCACCACCGUCCCCAUCCCCGGCACCAGUUUUGGCACCACCGGCCCCGUUACCGGCUCCAUCCCCGGCACCGUCCCCACCCCCGUCCCCCCCGCGGCGCCG
rnacentral:lncRNA from 1 species